UGCCAGCCGCCGCGGUAAUACGGAGGGUCCAAGCGUUAUCCGGAUUCAUUGGGUUUAAAGGGUCCGCAGGCGGGAAAAUAAGUCAGUGGUGAAAGCCUACAGCUUAACUGUAGAACUGCCAUUGAUACUGUUUUUCUUGAGUAUAGAUGAAGUGGGCGGAAUGUGUCAUGUAGCGGUGAAAUGCAUAGAUAUGACACAGAACACCGAUUGCGAAGGCAGCUCACUAAACUAUUACUGACGCUCAGGGACGAAAGCGUGGGGAGCGAACAGGAUUAGAUA
rnacentral:rRNA from 1 species